rnacentral:rRNA from 1 species
GACGUAGGAGGCGAGCGUUGUCCGGAUUUAUUGGGCGUAAAGAGCGUGUAGGCGGCCAGGUAGGUCCGUUGUGAAAACUCGAGGCUCAACCUCGAGACGUCGAUGGAAACCAUCUGGCUAGAGUCCGGAAGAGGAGAGUGGAAUUCCUGGUGUAGCGGUGAAAUGCGCAGAUAUCAGGAAGAACACCUAUGGCGAAGGCAGCUCUCUGGGACGGUACUGACGCUGAGACGCGAAAGCGUGGGGAGCGAACAGG